CACAGAGCCUAGGGCUUGCUGAUCAGAAGGUUGGCAGUUCGAAUCCCCAUGACGGGGUGAGCUCCCAUUGCUCGGUCCCUGCUCCUGCCAACCUAGCAGUUCAAAAGCACCUCAAAGUGCAAGUAGAUAAAUAGGUACCACUCCGGCGGGAAGGUAAACGGCGUUUCCGUGCGCUGCUCUGGUUCGCCAGAAGUGGCUUUGUCAUGCUGGCCACAUGACCUGGAAGCUGUAUGCCGGCUCCCUCGGCCAAUAAAGCGAGAUGAGCGCCACAACCCCAGAGUCGGCCACAACUGGACCUAAUGGUCAGGGGUC